CCCUUAGAUGUCCUGGGCCGCACGCGCACUACACUGAGUGUCUGAGAUACGAGUCUGCCUGGUCCGGCAAGGUCUAGGUAAUCGCUAAAAGACACAUCAUGCUUGGGAUAGAUUAUUGCAAAUAUUAAUCUUGAACGAGGAAUUCCUAGUAAGCGCAAGUCAACAGCUUGCGUUUAUUACGUCCCUGCCCUUUGUACACACCGCCCGUCGCUACUACUGAUUGGAUGUUUAAGCGAGGUUCUCGAACUGCUAGCGACUUAGCUUCGGUGAGGUCGCAGUGUGGGAAGUGAACCUAGCUUUGGUGUCUAGAGGAAGUAAAAGUCGUAACA
rnacentral:rRNA from 1 species